GACGAACGCUGGCGGCGUGCUUAACACAUGCAAGUCGAACGGAAAGGCCCUGCUUUUGUGGGGUGCUCGAGUGGCGAACGGGUGAGUAACACGUGAGUAACCUGCCCUUGACUUUGGGAUAACUUCAGGAAACUGGGGCUAAUACCGGAUAGGAGCUCCUGCUGCAUGGUGGGGGUUGGAAAGUUUCGGCGGUUGGGGAUGGACUCGCGGCUUAUCAGCUUGUUGGUGGGGUAGUGGCUUACCAAGGCUUUGACGGGUAGCCGGCCUGAGAGGGUGAACGGCCACAUUGGGACUGAGGUACGGCCCAGACGCCUACGGGAGGCAGCAGUGGGGAAUAUUGCACAAUGGGCGGAAGCCUGAUGCAGCAACGCCGCGUGCGGGAUGACGGCCUUCGGGUUGUAAACCGCUUUCGCCUGUGACGAAGCGUGAGUGACGGUAAUGGGUAAAGAAGCACCGGCUAACUACGUG
rnacentral:rRNA from 1 species